rnacentral:tRNA from 1 species
UGUAAAAGGGAUGGGAAUCUAACCCACAUUGUUCCGCUUACCGGGCAGAUGCCAUGUCCACUAGGCUACCCUGGAC